GUAACUCAAGAGCUUCCUCGCAUGCGUGAACACAUUUGGUGGAAGAAUUGGUAUUGAUUCACUUGGAAGGACAAACUAGCACCUGGACUCAAUCAGGGUUGAUUGGAGAGUGGCAACAUGCCCGCAUGCACACAUCACAUCUGAUAGGACACACUGACCAGCUCUGGAGAAGAAGGAGAUGAUCAAGUGUAACCCCUCCAGACUUAAAGCUAAUGUUUUAGCCCUUUGAACUCGCACUUAUUCACACACAGGAUACAUAUUGUCUUUCGUAUGGAGUCGGAGCGGAGCAAGAGCUGCAACACGAUCAAGACCUCUGAUUUGGUCGCAGACUCCAAUUUUAGAUACCUUGUCUGCAGACUUGUUGGCGUGCCGACUGGAUGCCUUAGUUUUGGGAUUAUGUCAACGCCUUCAGCAGAUGCUAUUGCAUUACAUAAAAGAUAUGUCAUGCUGGAGAGCUUCCACUCACUCCUAAUGUGUGCAUUCUGGCCACGGGCAACCACUUCACAUCCAGUCCUGUCACUGACACUGCAACCAAGAAUUCUGGGAGCCGUCCCAACGCUGUUUUGCAUCAUUUGUCAAAGGUCUGAUAUCCCAGCGGAGGCACGGCACACUGUGUGACGGCGGAGAGGAACAGGGUGGAGCAGCUAUUUUUACCUGAAGCCCAGGAGUGAAGCUCAACACAGAAGGUGAAGCGGGAGGAGAGUGGAAUUUGGGCAACGCUUGGGAAUGUGAAUUGGGUAACGUUAAUCAUCUGGACAGCAGAGACAUUAACUGUGCAUGAAGCGCGGUCUCUGGACAUUGCAUGUACUGUUCAAACACUGACAGAGGGCACACGCGCGCGAGACUCGGAGGCAAAGCGAGGACAUGGUGCGUUUCUGUGUGAAUCGGGGAGGAAGAGAGGACAUGCUGUAGUGUAAUUGUGUGUUUGUGUGUGUGGACAGCGUGCUUGUGCUGAGGUGAUAUACAGUGCCCUGACUUACUCUUGUAGAUGAAGUGCACUUUGCUCAAAGCUACACACCCCCAAAGGAAUAGACUGUGUUUUCCAACUCACUUUUCGGGUUGGGAAAACACACUGAUGAAAAAGGAUGAGGCUCUAUGAGGCACGCUCGGUCUUCGCAGGAGCCCCUGUCACACACUAACAUCAUUACAAUUUCAGCCUCGGUGCCUCCUAACAAAACUGCAUAUUUACUGUGUGUGUGUGUGUGUGUGUGUACCCGCUAUUGUCUUGUUAAAUUUUUUUAUUUAUUUAUUAUCUUUUUUUACAAUGGCCGCCGAACGCCUUUGCAUUCCGAAUGCAAUAUUGCGCCUUAAUAUGCCCCCAGUAUAACGCCGACAGAUUUGGAGAGUGCUGAUGUGGCACAUUUCGCAGUGGGAGCGUCCGGGACGAACGAAAAGCGCCGCGCUCGCCCCUGAGAGAGCAAGGGGGCUCACCUUUUGUUAUUAUUUUCAGAGGCGCCAAUUCGUGUUGACCUAGUUUGGGAGCGGGGAUUGUGGAGGCACUGAGCACCGAUGCAAAUGAAAUCUGUUGCUGUUGCUUCCUGCCUGUUGGAUAUUGAAGGAUUUCCUGGCACAUGAUGCAAUUGGGGGGGGCGGGAAAAAAACAACAACGCGCCUUAUACUUAGUGCAGUUUCAUGGAUAGCCUCGUCAUUUUUUUUUUUCAUUUUUUUUCUGACAUUUCUCAGCUUAUCUGGACUUAUCGUUAUCAGGUAUUUUCGCUGGUGGGUGUUUUCCUGGAAAUGUUGUGGCUUUUGAAUCUGAAUUCUUGACAGCAGCCUGCUUCUUGGUUUGGCAACAGAACUUUACAUGAACCUGCUCAGCAUUGCAAAUGACAGUGAUCACAGCAUGACUGAAGCACAACACUGCGCCUGAUUGACAGGUAGGUGUCAAAAAUACCCGUCAUCCUGCCAGCUGCGCAACCUAGCCACUACUACCAACUUUGGGUUAAGCAAGAAGAAGACGGUGCAUUUAGUCAUGACAUGCCCAAACUUUAGCCUAUUAAUACAAAAAGUGUUGGGAUGUGUAAUGUAUCACUCAGUACAAAUGUCAGUAACGCUUGUUAUGAUGGAUUUUAAAUCUGAAAUUAAUUAAGUGUGUUUUUACACAAGAUUAGCAGAGGAGAAAAAUCUGAACAAAUGUUAACUUCCUGUU